rnacentral:rRNA from 1 species
GUGCUAUUAGCGCGAUGGUACCACUCCGACCCCAUCCCGAACUCGGUAGUGAAACGUUGCAGCGGCGAAGAUACUUUGGGGGUUGCCCCACGGGAAAAUAGCUCAGUGCCAGGU